AACGAACGCUGGCGGCAUGCCUAACACAUGCAAGUCGAACGAGACCUUCGGGUCUAGUGGCGCACGGGUGCGUAACGCGUGGGAACCUGCCCUUAGGUUCGGAAUAACUCCCCGAAAGGGGUGCUAAUACCGGAUAAUGUCUUCGGACCAAAGAUUUAUCGCCUUUGGAUGGGCCCGCGUUGGAUUAGCUAGUUGGUAGGGUAAAAGCCUACCAAGGCGACGAUCCAUAGCUGGUCUGAGAGGAUGAUCAGCCACACUGGGACUGAGACACGGCCCAGACUGCUGCGGGAGGCGGGAGUGGGGAGUAAGGGAAAAGGAGAGCAAUGCUGAACGUCCGAGGGCGCGAGAAUGGAGAAGGCGGUAGAGGGAGAAAGCGCUGUUGCCCGCGCUGAGAAAGACAGUACGGGGAAAAGAAGCAACGGAUAACUUCGGG
rnacentral:rRNA from 1 species